UACGUAGGUGGCAAGCGUUGUCCGGAUUUACUGGGCGUAAAGAGCUCGUAGGUGGUUUGUUACGUCUGCUGUGAAAACCUAGGGCUUAACCCUGGGCUUGCAGUGGAUACGGGCAGACUAGAGGUAGGUAGGGGAGAAUGGAAUUCCUGGUGUAGCGGUGAAAUGCGCAGAUAUCAGGAGGAACACCGGUGGCGAAGGCGGUUCUCUGGGCCUUACCUGACACUGAGGAGCGAAAGCGUGGGGAGCGAACAGG
rnacentral:rRNA from 1 species